rnacentral:rRNA from 1 species
GAUGAACGCUGGCGGCGUGCCUAAUACAUGCAAGUCGAGCGAACGGACGAGAAGCUUGCUUCUCUGAUGUUAGCGGCGGACGGGUGAGUAACACGUGGAUAACCUACCUAUAAGACUGGGAUAACUUCGGGAAACCGGAGCUAAUACCGGAUAAUAUUUUGAACCGCAUGGUUCAAAAGUGAAAGACGGUCUUGCUGUCACUUAUAGAUGGAUCCGCGCUGCAUUAGCUAGUUGGUAAGGUAACGGCUUACCAAGGCAACGAUGCAUAGCCGACCUGAGAGGGUGAUCGGCCACACUGGAACUGAGACACGGUCCAGACUCCUACGGGAGGCAGCAGUAGGGAAUCUUCCGCAAUGGGCGAAAGCCUGACGGAGCAACGCCGCGUGAGUGAUGAAGGUCUUCGGAUCGUAAAACUCUGUUAUUAGGGAAGAACAUAUGUGUAAGUAACUGUGCACAUCUUGACGGUACCUAAUCAGAGAGCCACGGCUAACUACGUGCCAGCAGCCGCGGUAAUACGUAGGUGGCAAGCGUUAUCCGGAAUUAUUGGGCGUAAAGCGCGCGUAGGCGGUUUUUUAAGUCUGAUGUGAAAGCCCACGGCUCAACCGUGGAGGGUCAUUGGAAACUGGAAAACUUGAGUGCAGAAGAGGAGAGUGGAAUUCCAUGUGUAGCGGUGAAAUGCGCAGAGAUAUGGAGGAACACCAGUGGCGAAGGCGACUUUCUGGUCUGUAACUGACGCUGAUGUGCGAAAGCGUGGGGAUCAAACAGGAUUAGAUACCCUGGUAGUCCACGCCGUAAACGAUGAGUGCUAAGUGUUAGGGGGUUUCCGCCCCUUAGUGCUGCAGCUAACGCAUUAAGCACUCCGCCUGGGGAGUACGACCGCAAGGUUGAAACUCAAAGGAAUUGACGGGGACCCGCACAAGCGGUGGAGCAUGUGGUUUAAUUCGAAGCAACGCGAAGAACCUUACCAAAUCUUGACAUCCUUUGACAACUCUAGAGAUAGAGCCUUCCCCUUCGGGGGACAAAGUGACAGGUGGUGCAUGGUUGUCGUCAGCUCGUGUCGUGAGAUGUUGGGUUAAGUCCCGCAACGAGCGCAACCCUUAAGCUUAGUUGCCAUCAUUAAGUUGGGCACUCUAAGUUGACUGCCGGUGACAAACCGGAGGAAGGUGGGGAUGACGUCAAAUCAUCAUGCCCCUUAUGAUUUGGGCUACACACGUGCUACAAUGGACAAUACGAAGGGCAGCGAAACCGCGAGGUCAAGCAAAUCCCAUAAAGUUGUUCUCAGUUCGGAUUGUAGUCUGCAACUCGACUACAUGAAGCUGGAAUCGCUAGUAAUCGUAGGUCAGCAUGCUACGGUGAAUACGUUCCCGGGUCU